CUACGUGCCAGCAGCCGCGGUAAUACGUAGGUCCCGAGCGUUGUCCGGAUUUAUUGGGCGUAAAGCGAGCGCAGGCGGUUAGAUAAGUCUGAAGUUAAAGGCUGUGGCUUAACCAUAGUACGCUUUGGAAACUGUUUAACUUGAGUGCAGAAGGGGAGAGUGGAAUUCCAUGUGUAGCGGUGAAAUGCGUAGAUAUAUGGAGGAACACCGGUGGCGAAAGCGGCUCUCUGGUCUGUAACUGACGCUGAGGCGCGAAAGCCAGGGGAGCGAACGGGAUUAGAUACCCCGGUAGUCCUGGCCGUAAACGAUGGGUACUAGGUGUAGGAGGUAUCGACCCCUUCUGUGCCGGAGUUAACGCAAUAAGUACCCCGCCUGGGGAGUACGACCGCAAGGUUGAAACUCAAAGGAAUUGACGGGGGCCCGCACAAGCGGUGGAGUAUGUGGUUUAAUUCGACGCAACGCGAAGAACCUUACCAGGUCUUGACAUUGAUGGACAGAACUAGAGAUAG
rnacentral:rRNA from 1 species